GCUGAAUCUCCUCCGCUAUUCGCAACUCAAAUCAACAUUAGGGGGCGCUGCGAAGCCUGGCCCGGUCUGGCUACACUGUGCAGUAUGGCGGCUUUACGGAGGUCCCCGCGUACGCUGUCCUUGGUGAAAAUAUUAAGUUUGUUGCACUGCGAUGGUAAUUCGCGCUUUUUGUGGGGGGAGAACGGGUAGUGGACGCCGAGCACCUCAUUUUAGUCGGUACCAGUGGUACAGUGAGUAAUUAAGUAGAAGUGGUCGCGCGUGUGUGCAAACCUCCGGCGUGACAGCGGACCCGCACCAGAUUGUGGUGAGAAUCGCCGACGCAUUCCGGGACCCAUCGAUCGUGGAGGCAAAGUGCUCGUGCACUGCUGGAUUGUCGCAAAAGUGCUAGCACAUCUCGGCUGUUUCUCCUGGCACCUUAUCCUGGAACAUUUGGUGUAGUUCAGUCCCUUUAAUGUUUCAUCUCUACAUUGCGUUUCAAUGCUGUUCAUAUUGCAAAGAUCGUAUAAAGUGAAAUGUUCAUGUGCGUGCACCGUUGUAAGCAGAAGAGAUCCUAUUAUGUGCCAAACUGCAACUUAGCUUCACCUUGUGCUGUGGCGCUUGAGGUUACCUAUCACAAUACAUAUCCUGCUUUUUUUUUUUUUGCCGACAUGACUGUUCGUUUCCUAUGGCUCACACGUUAUUGUUUCACAAUUUGUGCACGAGCAACUGCGUGAUAUCAGUGGCGACUCAGGCAGAACUCAUGAAACCAACUUUUGUUGUCUUUGUUUGUACCCUUCUUAAAGGGGCCCUGAAAUUGGCAUGCUGCAUAAUAUAGAUACCACGACCACCACAAGCUCUGUUCGCAGGACGAUCAGACAGCCGUGUGUAUUGAUUGGUCUCUGUAAGUGAUGUAGCUCCAGGCGUGCAUCUCGCGUUUAGAGAGUGCCACACAUGCCUGAACCACAAGUAGCAAUGUGUCAAAAAAAAAAAAAACUUGACCAGGACCUUGCUCCCUUGCCAUGCACCGUGUAGCUUCCAGCACACUAGCUGAGACAAAAGGAGAAAGCAAUGCAUCGGUGCAAUAACUACUAAUUCCGCUUACACUUCAAUGAUUCGAAAAAUUUUUGCAGCAGGCGAUGUCCUUUUGUAGUGAGGUCACUAUGAUCAGUCGGAAGUGUUUCAGUGCCCCUUUAAGUGUUUGUUAAGUGCUUUAAGUGCAUGUUAAAAUUUUAUGUCACUUACUUUCCAUGUAUUGAUAUGUUGAUAGUAAGGACAGCUCUAUAUGCUCUCUGGAGGUCAAUAAUUAUCAUUCACUGAUGUUAAGCCUGCACAAGUGUCUCCCCAUGUUGUAUUACCAGUGGUUUAGUUAUGCUUCCCAGGACAGCCAUUUGCACUGUAUUCAACAAAUCAGGAAGAAGCAUAAAUUAUGGUACAUAUACCAGGUGGGGUCAUUUGAAUCAAGCCAUUCUUUCAGGGUACUCAACUCUGGUGGCAAAACUUUUUAAAUACUCAUCGUAUGCAGGUUUGACACUGUUCCAUGUUACUUCUCAUGUUCUGUUUGGCAAGAUAUACUUCAUAUGCUAAAAAGUGCAACAAAAAUGGCCUUGAGUAAAACGUAUGAGGCAAACACCUUGACACAGAGUAAAGUGAACAAAAAAUUGAGUGCAUGUGGUUUAUUUCGUGAAAAAAUACAAGUAAGGCAAGGGACAACAAACAGCCAUUGAAGAAUAACCACAACUCUAUGCACGCAGAUUAUAAGUGAACUGCAAAUAUCUCGGAAUACCAUAAGAUGAAAACUUGCAUCAGAAUGCGUAGAGUAAUCAGCACUUCAAUGAAGAAUACAAGCUGCAAAAGAAUGUGCAUUGCUAAUUUACAAAAAGUGUGUUGAAGUUGAAGUCUCCAGGUUUGGCCAAUGCAAACAAGUGCAGCAUGUAGAUCACAUGGCAACGACCGUGUCUGAAAAGUAUGAAAUGGCUGAGUGGCAUAAAAAAUGCUGGAUUUCCAAACAGAAGACCGCACUUACUCUCAAGGCCGCCACGCUUUGACGGAGCCAAGGUCACACGCACAAAUGCCUCUAUGCAAAAUGCUGUACUUCAAAGGCGUCUGAUACAACACCUUGCUUUUCAGAGUCAAAGACAUGUGAAAAAACAACUGUCCAUUGAAGACACUGGUGGCGAAAUUGUGGACUAUUGUAGGAUAAAUAAGUGAAGCAAAGAACCACUUAUUUCACUGCUGCAGGUAGAGGCAACUACAAGAAAUCCUAACGCACCAACGAAAUUGCACAAUGUCUCUGUAUGCACUCUGCACAAGAAAAGCACACACGGCCACAAGUUAUUACAAAUAAGACAUUCACCAACCACAGCAAGACCUGUCUGAGGUUUAGUUCAAUGAGAAAAAAAGAAAUAUAUCGCAUUGAGAUGCCGAAAGCACUACGAUUUCAAAUUAGAAGACAAUGAACUGCCAUUUAAAUCUAAGCUAGAAAAUAUGCACGACACAAACAAAAGGUGGCUCAUUGUACUGCAACAGGCGUAAAUUGGCCGAAGAAAUCACAUCAGAAAACAGUAAUAAAAUAUAUGCAGUGAAAUAAAACGCAAUUAAAUGUGCAGAGUACAGAGUAUGGAAAAUUACUUUUCCAGAAAGAUUUGAGCUUUUCGGUUUUUUGCCCUAUCUUCUUUUUUAAUAUUUAGGUGAUUCCUUUGUUUGCAAAAGUUGUUCAGCAUUAUGUUUGCAGCACAGCUUGCAACCAGUGCGACAAGGAGCUCGUAGGCGUGCCCAUUUUCACAUGCAUCUAUGUCCUCAAGCCUCGGCAGAGAGUGUAGAGUCAGUUGCCGAACAACACUCCUUUUGUAGGGCCCAUGGAGAAACUGUGUGCAGGCACUUUGUGUCACAAGCUUUGUAUCUACUACCUCCGUGUGCAUGACUACUAUAAUCGCAAGGGCAGAAUGAAAUUUGAGGCCAGCUUCGUCAUGUUGUGCGAUUAAGGAAUGGGUGUCUUCAUCCAUUUCGGUCUCAUUUCCAGUAAAAACCAAGUGCCCUCGGCAACUUUCACACUUUAGAACUUUUAUUGUAGCAUGCGCACAGUACCCACCAACAUAACCAAUAACUGGCAUUCGUGCUCUGAGCGCGUCAAGGUCAUCGUUACUAACAUGAACACUAAAGGAGGUGCCUACAUCUCUGACACUGUUUGUUUCUUCGAUGCCUCUGAGGUCAACAGUGCUCCUCCUUGGAAGGACAUUUCGAGGGCGAAUCCUGCCCUCUGUUUCACAGAGUUUUCGAACAGAUAUGUGGUACUGCCCACCAGCCAUCUGCUGGUACUGUCCGAAACGACUCUCGAAAGGAUCCGUUUGGACUUUCCCUAGCAGGACGUACUUGAAGUAAGUUCACUUAUGCAGUACUUUACCAAUUCCAACAAGGAUUGAGCAGAGAGUCUUAGGGCACUCAGUGUCUCCUUGGUAAGGACUCCAGUGCCGUGCCCAUAAUAUUCCCAGACGUCGAGCCAUGUAAUGAAAGCAUUUAGAGAAGCUACUUUUCGGUCAUCUAUAUGGUAGGGCAUGGGUUCUUCGUAAACAUUACGAUGAUGGAAGCCUUUAUUCGGUAUCUUUACAUGGACAAUACUCCACCAGCGAAGAAUAAUAUUGAUGAAAUCUGCUGUUGCUGGCGCAUCCUUACGUGGACAAUACUCCACCAGCGAAGAAUAAUUUUGAUGAAAUCUGCUGUUGCUGGCGCAUGCUGAAAAUUGGCUUCACCACUGCGAGCUGCCAGGUCUGCGGCUACGUGCGGAUUAAACACCUGUAGUACCAGCUUAACACUCUGCCGUUCCAAGUUGCUUGGAUUAAGUCCCUUUGACGUCAAGCCAUACCCAUACUUUAACAGCAGAGAUGACUCCUCUCUAUGUAAAUCUCCCAAAUGCCUAAAUGAGGCAGUCAUUUUGAAUUCAGGACAAACAUCAUUGUUUAAAAGCUCGAAGCGUGGGUGGAAAAAACAAAUGCCUGCAUUUUUCUGAUUCAGCCAAUUAUUUCUUAUGCAGUUAAACAGAUGCACAGCAUCUACCACGUAAUAUAGCGGUUGAUCUGGGUAUGCUGGAUGUGGGUAAACAUGACGAAGCAUCGGCUUCGGCCGAAGCGUCUUCAUUGCCUUCCUGUUUAGUGAGUUAUUGUUACAGAUAACAUUUAUGACCCUGUACCCAGUCUCUUCUACUCGCAAGAUUGCCUUCUUCAGUUUAACAUGAAUUUGGUCGCCCUGUAUUGUUUUUACCGAAAGAAUGUGUGCUACCUCCUUGAAUGAGCCCAACAGACUUUGAACCAUAAAUACGUGUACUGAUGUGGCUGCCUCGUUGGCAUUCACUACAGCACCACAUAUGCUCCUAUCCUCGUAACCAAAACAAGGCUUGAUGUGAAUUUCGUCAAGCAUCAACGUCACGGUGUGUUCAUGUGGCUGCAGAUGUUUAAAUCUCUGGGAAGCAUACUGAAUGAAAGUUUCAUCUCAAGAAUCAAUUUCUGGGCACAUUUGAACAGAUGAGCACACUUUCCUGAUAGUGCUCGGAUGGGGCAAGGUUAGUGUACUUGUUCCUCUCAAAAACGUAUAAACAUGCGGCAAUAUUGUGUGGAGAAUGCAUGCAAACAUCAUUGCCUGUGUGCUGUACUGAAUACACUCGGCAGAAAGCAGUAGUAGCUGUUCCUUUAUAAACUUUACAGCCCCUUUCUUGUCUUCAUUUAUGCUUCCUUCUAUUAUGUCUAGAAGAGAAUGUAUUGUAAGCGACAGGUGGCGAGAACUACAGCGCUCCUCAGACAGCAUGCACAGGUUGUCCAAAUUUCCAACAAGGAGCUUACUUUGCGAACUGAGUCCGGAACAACAGCGUUACCAAGGUUCUUGAUCACGGAGCCUUGAUAGCGUCAUCAUAUCUUGCUGGUGAAGCAGUGCACUGACACGGACACGGUGAAGACACACAAGAAAAGACGACACUCGCUGCUUGUGUGUCGUCACCGUGUUUGUGUCAGUGCGAUGCUUCACCAGCAAGGUAUGAUGAAUAAUCACCAACUAGCCCAAUUUUCCACAUUACUGAGCUUGAUAGCAGGCAGACACUUGAAGGCUUUCGAACACCGUCAAUGACGCCUUCAACCAAGAUUCACGAUCGUCGGUGAUGUUCAAAAACAUCGUUCACUUUUCUUUAUGGAUCACAGUCCACUUCACCGACACUGAUGCCACUUGCAAGCGCACCUUUAUUUCUUCGAGGGACGCAAAGUGGUCUCUCUCCUGCUUCGCUUCAUGUGAAGUCGGUGACUCUUCGACAGUACGGGCCAGUUGGGAAGCUUCUAGUCGGCUCCUCUUGGCAUCAGGUGCUUCUCUCGUGCUGUUGUCUGGUUCUGAAAGGUACGACUGAGAGCCGGAAAAAAACUGUAGGCACAGAUCCAUGGUGCAAACGCGGGUACUGGCAGUGCAACUGAAAGAACGUUUCCUGUUCUUGGAUCCAUGUAUGUAGUCAUGCUCUCGAUGCAUGAAGCUUGGAAAUUAUCCGCGCAAAUGCGCAGCAAUGUACAAACGUCUCGUAAACACCCGAGAAUCCACUUAUUGAAAUAACCUGAUGCUUUCCUCUUUGUGUAAGUGUGUUUACAGUCCGUGUGAGCACAAUAAGUCUAUCUGGGCUUCGGAAGUAUCACAGUAAAAGUGCUUAACAAGUACGAACAACUAGGACCACACAACAGGACCAUCUAGUAUUCUUACUUUAGUGUACGAAGUGGGCGCGAAGUCCUUCCUAGCAAUGGCGCGUAGCCACUUCUUGAAAGUGUCGUCGUCUUUAGGUAAAGAAAGCAAUUGUAUUCUCUUUCCCGUAUCCUAGUUGGCGGUGCACCCCAGCACACAACACUUAUUUGGCAUUUCAGCAUCCACUGCACAUCGCACACGAAAACAAAAUUGCUGUAAAACAACAAAGGGAAACGGUAAACGCGACCAUGGCGAUCCAACCAACCGGUCCGCGCGCUGCCAGGAGCGUGAAAGAACGAGCCUAAUUGAUGUCGCUUACACUGCGGCUUCUGGAAGUGUCAGCCUCCUGGAUAUGACGUCAAAAUUGUGGGUGCAGGCCUGAAAGCUGUUCAGGGGGUAAUGGCUCAGGAGAUCACUGUGCAGAGACCAUCGCAAGCCGCAGGUUGCCGUCGACGCAGGGCGGGCAAUUUAGUUCGUUAUCGAGAAAAGGACGCAAAAAGACUUCAACGCGAGGACCCUCUAGUGGGUGCUGCUGAAACUGUGGCAUCACAGGUUCGCAGCUGAAAUCCUCAAGUGCAUGCUGCCGAAGAUGCGGCCCGGCAGCUUCGCCACCAAGACUCUCGCCUGUGUGCUGCCGAAAAUUAGGCACGACACUAUUAACGCGAGCAACCUCGCGUGCGCUCUGCCUAAUAUGUGGUCUGACAGCUUCGCCGGGAAAACCUUUGCUCACGUGCAGCACAUAAGAGCCGUCGCGCAGACCCUCACGUGCGGGUCGACGAAAAUGAGGCCCGGGAGCUUGGUCGUAUAUGCGAUUACGAUCAACAUAGGCCUAAUAGAUGGUGGUCAAUGGUGCGGUUUGGGACCUCGCCCACGCUGAGGUAGACGAGUUGGGACUCGCAAAAAGACUGUGGUGGCACGGGAAAGUUGGCACAGCUAAAAGCGGCACCGUUGCGCAGUGUACUCAGGUGCACGUUCCGCCCCGAGUGGGUAUGCCAUGUAUAAAUACUAAUGUGCGCGUGUCUGGUGCGGCGGACGGCCACUGAUUAAAAAAAGAAAAAGAUCGGGGGGAUUUGGCGCGAGCUCGCAGGACGGGGCACCUCGACCAACAGACAGUCACGAAAGGACACGGGCUCUGGAAGGUGAAGCCGAAAAAGAAAAGAGAGGAAGCUUCUUUUCUUUCUUGAAUAAGAAGGCCGGUGCGCAGAGUGGAAGAAGCGACACUGUCGAGCUGUGAGUCCGAGCUUCAACGCUUCAGAAGCGCCGGGCGGAGAAGCGAAGCUGUUGGGCCGCGGACCCUAGCUUCAAGGCUUCAGCGACGAUCCGGCCUCCGUCCUACCUCCAGCCUGUGGUCUUCGCUGUUCCUGGUUACAUGGCUAUGAAUUUAAGAACUUCAGACUCUCUUCGUGCGACUUCUUGGCCGUGCUGCGGAUGAUCCUCAAAAAGCAAGCAGCGAGUUAUCCUCACGUGACCGAUGCACUGCAGCUGCACCGACGCAUGCCAAGACUACCUGAGUUCCGCCCAAACAUCUUGCCAACACCCUCGAGGCGCUGACCGGUGCUGUUUACUUGGAUUCGAACCUGGACCUGGCCGCCACAUGGCACGCUGUGUACCCGUUGCUGCAGCCGCACGUGGACCAUGAGAUUGCAGCAGUCACCGCAAAUUUGGCAUUGUAUUUCUUCUAAAAUAACAAACUCUAAGGGCAUGCGA